rnacentral:rRNA from 1 species
GACGAACGCUGGCGGCGUGCUUAAUACAUGCAAGUCGAGCGAGGUUACUGUUUUGGAUCCCUUCGGGGUGAAGAAGCUUUAACCUAGCGGCGGACGGGUGAGUAACGCGUGGGUAACCUACCCCAAAGUCCGGGAUAACAGCGGGAAACCGCUGCUAAUACCGGAUGUCUUUACCUUGGGGCAUCUUGAGGUAAAGAAAGGUAACGCUUUGGGAUGGGCCCGCGUCCCAUUAGCUAGUUGGUGAGGUAACGGCUCACCAAGGCGACGAUGGGUAGCCGGCCUGAGAGGGUGGACGGCCACACUGGGACUGAGACACGGCCCAGACUCCUACGGGAGGCAGCAGUAGGGAAUAUUGCGCAAUGGACGGAAGUCUGACGCAGCGACGCCGCGUGAGCGAUGAAGGUCUUCGGAUCGUAAAAGCUCUGUCCUUGGGGAAGAAGGCGAAAGCUUGACGGUACCCAAGAAGAAAGCCCGGCUAACUACGUGCCAGCAGCCGCGGUAAAAUAGACGUACU